rnacentral:rRNA from 1 species
AUUGAACGCUGGCGGCAGGCCUAACACAUGCAAGUCGAACGGUAACAGGAAGAAGCUUGCUUCUUUGCUGACGAGUGGCGGACGGGUGAGUAAUGUCUGGGAAACUGCCUGAUGGAGGGGGAUAACUACUGGAAGGGGUAGCUAAUACCGCAUAACGUCGCAAGACCAAAGAGGGGGACCUUCGGGCCGCUUGCCAUCGGAUGUGCCCAGAUGGGAUUAGCGAGUAGGUGGGGUAACGGCUCACCUAGGCGACGAUCCCUAGCUGGUCUGAGAGGAUGACCAGCCACACUGGAACUGAGACACGGUCCAGACUCCUACGGGAGGCAGCAGUGGGGAAUAUUGCACAAUGGGCGCAAGCCUGAUGCAGCCAUGCCGCGUGUAUGAAGAAGGCCUUCGGGUUGUAAAGUACUUUCAGCGGGGAGGAAGGGAGUAAAGUUAAUACCUUUGCUCAUUGACGUUACCCGCAGAAGAAGCACCGGCUAACUCCGUG